GAUGAAGAACGUAGCGAAAUGCGAUACGUAAUGUGAAUUGCAGAAUUCAGUGAAUCAUCGAAUCUUUGAACGCACAUUGCGCCCGCCAGUAUUCUGGCGGGCAUGCCUGUCCGAGCGUCAUUUCAACCCUCGAACCCCUCCGGGGGGUCGGCGUUGGGGAUCGGCCCUGCCUCUUGGCGGUGGCCGUCUCCGAAAUACAGUGGCGGUCUCGCCGCAGCCUCUCCUGCGCAGUAGUUUGCACACUCGCAUCGGGAGCGCGGCGCGUCCACAGCCGUUAAACACCCAACUUCUGAAAUGUUGACCUCGGAUCAGGUAGGAAUACCCGCUGAACUUAAGCAUAUCAAUAAGCGGAGGA
rnacentral:misc_RNA from 1 species